rnacentral:rRNA from 1 species
AAGAUUAAGCCAUGCAUGUCUAAGUAUAAGCAAACUAUACCGUGAAACUGCGAAUGGCUCAUUAUAUCAGUUAUCGUUUAUUUGAUAGUACCUUACUACUUGGAUACCUGUGGUAAUUCUAGAGCUAAUACAUGCUAAAAACCUCAACUUCGGAAGGGGUGUAUUUAUUAGAUUGUAAANNNNNNNNGUCUNAACUCCUUGGUGAUUCAUGAUAACUUAUCGACUCGCAUGGCCUUCGGCUGGCGAUGGUUCAUUCAAUCAUCUGCCCUAUCAACUAUCAAUCGUAGUAUAGAGGACUACGAUGGUUUCUACGGGUAGUCACUGUUGCCCGUAGUAGACACGUCCGGGCCCCCAAGGGGUCUCGGCAACACCACUGGUUUGGAAGAUACGAUGUUGAUUCCGGGGCGACUCCCUGCGGGACCGCCCGAACGCAUGCAAAGUGGUGGGCUCCUCUCUGGGGAGCUUUUGGUACAUGCUGCCCCUGUGGCCGCUGCGUAGCAGGGGGUACAUGAACGGGGAAUUAGGGUUCUAUUCCGGAGAGGGAGCCUGAGAAACGGCUACCACAUCCAAGGAAGGCAGCAGGCGCGCAAAUUACCCAAUCCCGACACGGGGAGGUAGUGACAAUAAAUACUGAUGCAGAGCUCUUUUGGGUUUUGCAAUUGGAAUGAGUACAAUCUAAAUCCCUUAACGAGGAACAAUUGGAGGGCAAGUCUGGUGCCAGCAGCCGCGGUAAUUCCAGCUCCAAUAGCGUAUAUUAAAGUUGUUGCAGUUAAAAAGCUCGUAGUUGAAACUUGGGCCUGGCUGUCCGGUCCGCCUCACCGCGUGCACUGGUUCGGCCGGGCCUUUCCUUCUGGGGAUGCGCAUGGACUUCAACUGUCUGUGUUGUGGAACCAGGACUUUUACUUUGAAAAAAUUAGAGUGUUCAAAGCAGGCAUAUGCUCGAAUACAUUAGCAU